AGAUUGAGUUUGAUCCUGGCUCAGAUUGAACGCUGGCGGAAUGCUUUACACAUGCAAGUCGAACGGCAGCACGGGAGCUUGCUCCUGGUGGCGAGUGGCGAACGGGUGAGUAAUGCGUCGGAACGUGCCGAGUAAUGGGGGAUAACGCAGCGAAAGUUGUGCUAAUACCGCAUACGCCCUGAGGGGGAAAGUGGGGGACCGCAAGGCCUCACGUUAUUCGAGCGGCCGACGUCUGAUUAGCUAGUUGGUGAGGUAAUGGCUCACCAAGGCGACGAUCAGUAGCGGGUCUGAGAGGAUGAUCCGCCACACUGGGACUGAGACACGGCCCAGACUCCUACGGGAGGCAGCAGUGGGGAAUUUUGGACAAUGGGGGCAACCCUGAUCCAGCCAUUCCGCGUGAGUGAAGAAGGCCUUCGGGUUGUAAAGCUCUUUCAGCUGGAGUGAAACGGUACGCUCUAACAUAGCGUGCUAAUGACGGUACCAGCAGAAGAAGCACCGGCUAACUACGUGCCAGCAGCCGCGGUAAUACGUAGGGUGCGAGCGUUAAUCGGAAUUACUGGGCGUAAAGCGUGCGCAGGCGGAUUGUUAAGCAAGACGUGAAAUCCCCGGGCUUAACCUGGGAAUGGCGUUUUGAACUGGCAGUCUAGAGUGCGUCAGAGGGGGGUGGAAUUCCACGUGUAGCAGUGAAAUGCGUAGAGAUGUGGAGGAACACCGAUGGCGAAGGCAGCCCCCUGGGAUGACACUGACGCU
rnacentral:rRNA from 1 species